GGUCAAGGCUGCUCUCCAGAACAGCUGCCCUUGAAGGGGACAGUGGCACAGCCUGGCCUGAUCCUGUGGCUCCAUCAUCUCGACCUUCAACAGCAGCCUCUACUGUCCCCAUACCAGCAGAGAGAAGGCCUGAGGCCCCACCAGUGCCCCACCAACGCCACAGGGCUGGCCAUGGAGUGUGUAGGAGCCAAGAAGAAGAGGACAAGGGAAUGUUGCACAGCGUCACCUGAGAGGCUGCUAGAGAUGCAGAGAGCCAGAUCCGACCUGGGCCCGCUGAAUCAAAAUCUGCAUCUUAUCAAGAUCCCCAGGGGAUUUGUAAAAAAUAGAGCAUGGGAAGAAACAGCUCUAUAGUGAGAGGAGACACCGUGCUAGCAGCCCUCACUCGCUCUGGCCGCGCUUGAGGAGCCCUUUAACCCACCGCUGCAGUGUGGAAGCCCCUCUCUGGACUGCCGGAGACCGUAGCCGGCUCCCUCUGCUUGCGGGAAAGUGUGGAGGGAGAGACACGGGUGGGAACCGGGGCUGUGCAGGGCACUCAUGGGCCAGCGUGAGUUCUGGGUGAGCACGGACUCGGCAGGCCCUGCACUCCGAACGGCCGGCGCCACUGGCCCCAGGCAGUGAAAAGCUUAACACCCAGGCCAGCAGCUGCGGAGGAUGUGCCGGGUCCCCCAGCACUGCCUGCCGGCCGGCCCGCCCGCCCCGCACUUGAAUUCUGGCCGGACCUCAAGCCGCCUCCCUGCGGGGCAGGGGCUGGGGACCUGCAGCCCACCAUGCUCGAGCACUGCCCCCUGCCCUGUGGGCUCCUGAUUAGCCGGAGCCUCCCUGAGGGGCGCUCCCAGCUGCUCCGCAGCACCAGGUCCCAUCGACCAUCCAAGGCCUGCGUAGUGCGAGCGUGCUGGCGCAGGACUGACAGGCAGCUCCGCUCUCAACGGCAUCCACUAGCAGAACCAGCUGGGCUCUUAUGUUGGAUGGGGACUUGGAAAACUUUUGUGUCUAGCUAAAGGAUUGUAAAUGCACCAAUCAGCAAUCUGUGUCUAACUCAAGGU